GCCAAAACUAACCCCGAAGAAAGAAUUCCAUGAGAAGUAGAAUUCUCGCGAGAACCAUGAGCCCUUAAAGGGCUAGAGAAAGAUAAAUCCAAGGCCCCGCGCGGCCAAGGAAGGCUACGCAUAUGAGAAACCUUGUUUGUAUGUGCAGGCAUGCACAUGCACGAGAGAGGGAUCUUACACACGUGGAAAGCUCCUAUACGUGAGGAUUCUCCUAGCAAGUAAACCUCGU
rnacentral:lncRNA from 1 species